rnacentral:rRNA from 1 species
UACGGGGGGUGCGAGCGUUAAUCGGAAUAACUGGGCGUAAAGGGCACGCAGGCGGACUUUUAAGUGAGGUGUGAAAUCCCCGGGCUUAACCUGGGAAUUGCAUUUGAUACUGGGAGGCUAGAGUACUGUAGGGAGGGGUAGAAUUCCACGUGUAGCGGCGAAAUGCGUAGAGAUCUGGAGGAAUACCGAUGGCGAAGGCAGCCCCUUGGGCAUGUACUGACGCUCAUGUGCGAAAGCGUGGGGAGCAAACAGG